UACGUAGGAUCCGAGCGUUAUCCGGAUUUAUUGGGUUUAAAGGGUGCGUAGGCGGUUUGAUAAGUUAGAGGUGAAAUGUCGGGGCUCAACCCCGAAACUGCCUCUAAUACUGUUGGACUAGAGAAUAGUUGCGGUAGGCGGAAUGUAUGGUGUAGCGGUGAAAUGCUUAGAGAUCAUACAGAACACCGAUUGCGAAGGCAGCUUACCAAACUGUAUCUGACGUUGAGGCACGAAAGCGUGGGUAGCAAACAGG
rnacentral:rRNA from 1 species